ensembl:ncRNA W03G1.10 ncRNA
GAUCAGCUUGGCAGUCUACUAGAAUCUUCUCAAGCCGCCCCGCACCCCAUGUUCUAUUAGGGCGGCGGGUCACUGUUACGCGUCGGUCUGGUAGUAGGCAUGUAGGUAGGCAUGUUUGUGCCUAGGCAUGGUAGUACUUACCAUUUUUCA